rnacentral:miRNA from 1 species
AGGCCCAGCUCGGCAGAGUACAU